GAGUUUGAUCCUGGCUCAGAUUGAACGCUGGCGGUAGGCUUAACACAUGCAAGUCGAGCGCGAAAGUUCCUUCGGGGAUGAGUAGAGCGGCGGACGGGAGAGUAACGCGUAGGAAUCUGCCUGGUAGUGGGGGAUAACUCGGGGAAACUCGAGCUAAUACCGCAUACGCCCCAUGGGGGAAAGCGGGGGACCUUCGGGCCUCGUGCUAUCAGAUGAGCCUGCGUCGGAUUAGCUUGUUGGUGAGGUAAUGGCUCACCAAGGCAACGAUCCCUAGCUGGUCUGAGAGGAUGAUCAGCCACACUGGGGCUGAGACACGGCCCAGACUCCUACGGGAGGCAGCAGUGGGGAAUAUUGGACAAUGGGGGCAACCCUGAUCCAGCCAUACCGCGUGUGUGAAGAAGGCCUUCGGGUUGUAAAGCACUUUCAGUAGGGAGGAAAAGGUUUCGGUUAAUAACCGGGAUCCCUGACGCUACCUACAGAAGAAGCACCGGCAAACUCCGU
rnacentral:rRNA from 1 species